rnacentral:rRNA from 1 species
GAUGAACGCUGGCGGCGUGCCUAAUACAUGCAAGUCGAGCGAACGGACGAGAAGCUGGCUUCUCUGAUGUUAGCGGCGGACGGGUGAGUAACACGUGGAUAACCUACCUAUAAGACUGGGAUAACUUCGGGAAACCGGAGCUAAUACCGGAUGAUAUUUUGAACCGCAUGGUUCAAAAGUGAAAGACGGUCUUGCUGUCACUUAUAGAUGGAUCCGCGCUGCAUUAGCUAGUUGGUAAGGUAACGGCUUACCAAGGCAACGAUGCAUAGCCGACCUGAGAGGGUGAUCGGCCACACUGGAACUGAGACACGGUCCAGACUCCUACGGGAGGCAGCAGUAGGGAAUCUUCCGCAAAGGGCGAAAGCCUGACGGAGCAACGCCGCGUGAGUGAUGAAGGUCUUCGGAUCGUAAAACUCUGUUAUUAGGGAAGAACAUAUGUGUAAGUAACUGUGCACAUCUUGACGGUACCUAAUCAGAAAGCCACGGCUAACUACGUG